UCAUCUGCACAACUCUGAGGUCUACAACCGCACAACCGUCUCUCUAACAGUAUGAAGACCUGCUUUAUUGUCGUCGUUUUGGCUCUUGCCAUGAUCAGCUGUGCCUCCGCUCAGGUCGGUGGGAUGCAGAGUUUAAUGAUGAUGUCCAUGCUUGACACUCCGGAUAUGAGUACACUAAUGAUGUGCCAGAUGUGCAUGAGGAACCCAGGUGCAAACAUUAUGACCUGCUCGAUGAUGGGAAUGUGUGGAAACUAGCCACUUGGCCAAAGUUAUGCGAAAGAGAGGUUAGAACUAUUUAUAAUGUAAGGACUCCUUGUCUUCCACGUCAUUACAUCUAUAAUUCACAA